AUUGAACGCUGGCGGCAGGCCUAACACAUGCAAGUCGAGCGGAUGAGAGGAGCUUGCUUCUCGAUUCAGCGGCGGACGGGUGAGUAAUGCCUAGGAAUCUGCCUGAUAGUGGGGGACAACGUUUCGAAAGGAACGCUAAUACCGCAUACGUCCUACGGGAGAAAGCAGGGGACCUUCGGGCCUUGCGCUAUCAGAUGAGCCCAGGUGGGAUUAGCUAGUUGGUGAGGUAAUGGCUCACCAAGGCGACGACCCGUAACUGGUCUGAGAGGAUGAUCAGUCACACUGGAACUGAGACACGGUCCAGACUCCUACGGGAGGCAGCAGUGGGGAAUAUUGGACAAUGGGCGAAAGCCUGAUCCAGCCAUGCCGCGUGUGUGAAGAAGGUCUUCGGAUUGUAAAGCACUUUAAGUUGGGAGGAAGGGUUGUAGAUUAAUACUCUGCAAUUUUGACGUUACCGACAGAAUAAGCACCGGCUAACUCUGUGCCAGCCGCCGCGGUAAUAC
rnacentral:rRNA from 1 species